GGAGAAAAGCAGGGGAUCGCAAGACCUUGCGCUUUUGGAGCGGCCGAUGCCUGAUUAGCUUGUUGGUAAGGUAAAAGCUUACCAAGGCUUCGAUCAGUAGCUGGUCUGAGAGGACGGCCAGCCACACUGGGACUGAGACACGGCCCAGACUCCUACGGGAGGCAGCAGUGGGGAAUUUUGGACAAUGGGGGCAACCCUGAUCCAGCCAUGCCGCGUAAGUGAAGAAGGCCUUCGGGUUGUAAAGCUCUUUCAGCCGGAACGAAACGGUUACGGUUAAUACCUGUGACUAAUGACGGUACCGGAAGAAGAAGCACCGGCUAACUACGUGCCGGCAGCCGCGGUAAUACGUAGGGUGCGAGCGUUAAUCGGAAUUACUGGGCGUAAAGCGUGCGCAGGUGGUUUUGUAAGUCAGAUGUGAAAUCCCCGGGCUCAACCUGGGAACUGCGUUUGAAACUACAAAGCUAG
rnacentral:rRNA from 1 species